UACGAAGGGGGCUAGCGGUGUUCGGAAUUACUGGGCGUAAAGCGCACGUAGGCGGAUAUUUAAGGCAGGGGUGAAAUCCCGGGGCUCAACCCCGGAACUGCCUUUGAUACUGGGUAUCUGGAGUCCGGAAGAGGUGAGUGGAAUUCCGAGUGUAGAGGUGAAAUUCGUAGAUAUUCGGAGGAACACCGGUGGCGAAGGCGGCUCACUGGUCCGGUACUGACGCUGAGGCACGAAAGCGUGGGGAGCAAACAGG
rnacentral:rRNA from 1 species